rnacentral:rRNA from 1 species
UACGUAGGGGGCAAGCGUUGCCCGGAUUUAUUGGGCGUAAAGCGCUCGCAGGUGGUUCAUUGCGUCGUGCGUGAAAGACCCCGGCUCAACUGGGGAGGGUCGUGCGAAACGGGUGAACUAGAGGCCAGUAGGGGGAUGCGGAAUUCCGGGUGUAGUGGUGGAAUGCGUAGAGAUCCGGAGGAACACCAGCGGCGAAGGCGGCAUCCUGGACUGGUCCUGACACUCAGGAGCGAAAGCGUGGGGAGCGAUCCGG